UAAAAGCUUGUACCGAAAAUGAAAUUUUUGCCAAAAACUUAUUUACAGAUUACUGGCUGCAAGUCUUGAAGCACUAUCCACAGACGGAGCCCUAAGGUGGCCGGAGCCCAUCGCUCCUUAUCGAGCUAUACUUAUAGGGCCUAAGGAAGGCUCAAAAGAAUGGUCCGUGUACAACUCUGAGCAAAUGCUCGGCUUGUUCGACAAACUGUCGUCCCUACCGGGCCUCCGCGACGACAUUAUAUACGACGACCGCCACUCGAUGACUGUCGGGAAACGGAUACUUAUGGCUGACAAAAUGGGCUACCCCUUGGUGAUAGUUUGCGGUAAAGGUGUUUUAGAAACCCCGCCAAGGCUCGAGCUGCACUCGCGAGGCGAAACACAGUUGUUGACAUUAGGCCAACUCAUGUGGGUUUUACAGGGAGGGAACGAGAAAGUUGCUAAUAAAAUGUAAAACAAU